ACCGAAUUCAGACAAACUCCGAAUGCCAAUUAAUUUAACUUGGGAGUCAGAACAUGGGUGAUAAGGUCCGUGUUCGAAAGGGAAACAGCCCAGACCACCAGCUAAGGUCCCAAAAUAUAUGUUAAGUGGAAAAGGAUGUGGCGUUGCCCAGACAACUAGGAUGUUGGCUUAGAAGCAGCCAUCAUUUAAAGAGUGCGUAAUAGCUCACUAGUCGAGUGACACUGCGCCGAAAAUGUACCGGGGCUAAACAUAUUACCGAAGCUGUGGAUUGUCCUUUGGACAAUGGUAGGAGAGCGUUCUAAGGGCGUUGAAGCAUGAUCGUAAGGACAUGUGGAGCGCUUAGAAGUGAGAAUGCCGGUGUGAGUAGCGAAAGACGGGUGAGAAUCCCGUCCACCGAUUGACUAAGGUUUCCAGAGGAAGGCUCGUCCGCUCUGGGUUAGUCGGGUCCUAAGCUGAGGCCGACAGGCGUAGGCGAUGGAUAACAGGUUGAUAUUCCUGUACCACCUAUAAUCGUUUUAAUCGAUGGGGGGACGCAGUAGGAUAGGCGAAGCGUGCGAUUGGAUUGCACGUCUAAGCAGUAAGGCUGAGUAUUAGG
rnacentral:rRNA from 1 species